UACAGAGGGGGCAAGCGUUAUUCGGAAUUAUUGGGCGUAAAGGGCGCGUAGGCGGCUUGGCAAGUGGAUGGUGAAAUCCCUCGGCUUAACUGAGGAACUGCCGUCCAAACUGCUUUGCUUGAGACCGGGAGAGGUGAGUGGAAUUCCCAGUGUAGCGGUGAAAUGCGUAGAUAUUGGGGAGGAACACCAGUGGCGAAGGCGGCUCACUGGACCGGUACUGACGCUGAUGCGCGAAAGCGUGGGGAGCAAACGGG
rnacentral:rRNA from 1 species